AUUGUGACUCGAGGCUCAGGCCACUGUGUUGGACCUUCAGCUCAGUGGUUCCUGCUUCUCCUGUUGUUUGUCUGGCUGAUCUCUGCUCACCCAUCAAGUAUUAGCCUAAAUGCCACUUCCUCCAGGAUGUCUUCCCGGAACCCAAGCUUCCCACAGUUUAUGUCUUCUUGCUGCAGGAACCAUUGCCGGAAGGUACUGAGAACUAAAUCAGUCUGUUCAACCUCCCACCUGUGCAGUUUUACCCUGUGCCUCCCUGGCAGGGAGAGAAGAGAAGAGGCCCAUGACUGGCUCCUACAGAGUUUGACUCUUUGCUUCGACACUACCGUCUGCAAGUUCUUGUGCUAGCCGCUGUGGGAAAGACACAGCUGAGUCAGACAUGAUCCCUGCCCUCAAGGAGCUUGUGACACCACAGUGAAGACAAGUCUAUUUUGGUGCUGAAGGGAAACAGAUGAAGAACAUGACCUCAAGGAGCUUCCUGUCAAUGAGAAGACCAAGCUGACGCCUGGCAAAGAUAUUAAAGAGGAGCCUGAAACUGUUCCUUGGACAUCUUAUGAAUGUC
rnacentral:lncRNA from 1 species